rnacentral:rRNA from 1 species
AGUGAACGCUGGCGGUAGGCCUAACACAUGCAAGUCGAACGGCAGCACAGUAAGAGCUUGCUCUUACGGGUGGCGAGUGGCGGACGGGUGAGGAAUACAUCGGAAUCUACUUUUUCGUGGGGGAUAACGUAGGGAAACUUACGCUAAUACCGCAUACGACCUACGGGUGAAAGCAGUGGAUCUUCGGACCUUGCGCGAUUGAAUGAGCCGAUGUCGGAUUAGCUAGUUGGCGGGGUACAGGCCCACCAAGGCGACGAUCGGUAGCUGGGCUGAGAGGAUGGUGCGGCCCACUGAAAUUGAGCAGCGACCUGGGGCCUUAGGGAAGGCACCGGUGGGGAAUAUGGGCAGCAGGGGGGAAGCUUGCACAAGCCACGCAGGUGGGGUGAAGAAGCCCUGCGGGUUGUAAAGCCCUUUUGUGGGGAAAAAAAACCCGCGGCUUAAACCCCCCCUGUUUGACGGGAACCAAAAAAAAAAGCACCGCUAACUUCGUG